rnacentral:lncRNA from 1 species
GUUACUCCCAGUUUCUGCCUCCUUACCUUAGGCUCCUCCCCAAACACCCAGGCGGACGGUACCAGAGCCACACACCCACUUCCCACCCCCUGCACUGAGGGGCCGGUGCCUUCGGUUAGGCUACCUGCCUCUCCCCGCCGCGGGGUGGGGGGGGCUCGGAGGGGUGGCGAGGCGCGGCCCGAGGGCGAGCCCCCAGCCGGGGAGUCCACGCCUCCCGACGCCCCUCCGUCGCCUGCAGCCCGGGGAGCCCGGCCCACGCCCACAUCCCAGCCGGGCAGGCGGCUCCCGGCCGGCUCGGCGCUCGGGGGCACCGGGGCUGGUGACCUCGAGGGCGCCCCCCACGGACCGCGGCCCGGGCUCCGCAGCGGCGGGACGGACGCGCGCCGGAGCCCGCGGUUCGGUCCCCGAGGUGCCCUCGAGCGCCUCCCGGACGCCUGCGCAGCGCCGCCGCGGACCCGGAGGUCCCCGGGUGUCCCCGGGUGUCCCCGGGUGUCCGGACCCGACGCGGGCGCUCCCUCCGAGGGGCCGGUCCCCCCCGGGGCUGCCCGCGCCCGUCCCCGCCGACCUGGACGGCAGCCCGGCCCCUCGGCGCGCCCCGACCCUCCGCCGCGCGGCACCGCGACACUGACCUGCGGCGGCGGCGGCCCCGGAGUCCCGGCAGCCGACCCGAGCGCCCCAGGCGGCGACUCCCGCGCGCGCUGCGGCUCCCAGUGCGCUCGGCCCCGCCUGCCCGAGGCCCCGCCGGGCCGGGCCGGGCCGGGGGCGGGGAGCGCGGCGCGGGGGCGGCCGCGGGGGCGGGGAGGCGGCGCGGGGCGCGGGGCGCGGGGGCGCGGGGGCCCGGCGCACAGUGGGGCCGCGGCCGCGGGGCUGCCUGCCCGAGCCCCCGCUCGGCCGGCUCGCUCGGUCCUCGUGGCCGCCGCUGGGAGGCGGCCCAGAAACGGUCCCAGUCCCCAGAGCGGGCACCUAAGGGCGCUCCCACAGGUGCCCCACGCUCCCGUCUGGCACGAGCCCGGGCUGCGGGGUCCCCAGCCCGCCCUCCGCCUCCAGGCCGCUGUGUCUUACUCUUCGCCCCGCGAGAUUUUUUUUUCCAGGUGUUUUUUUUUUUUUUUUUUAAUGACAUUCUUUAAAAAGAAAUUAAAUCCUACCUAG